AACUUUUAACAAUGGAUCUCUUGGCUCUCACAUCGAUGAAGAACACAGUGAAAUGUGAUAAGUAAUGUGAAUUGCAGAAUUCAGUGAGUCAUCGAAUCUUUGAACGCACCUUGCACCUUUUGGUUAUUCCAAAAGGUACGCCUGUUUGAGU
rnacentral:rRNA from 1 species